UACAGAGGUCUCGAGCGUUAGGCGGAAUCACUGGGCUUAAAGCGUGUGUAGGCGGAUCGGUAAGUACCUUGUGAAAUCCCACAGCUUAACUGUGGAACUGCUUGGUAUACUGCCAGUCUUGAGCCAGCUAGGGGCUACCGGAACAAAUGGUGGAGCGGUGAAAUGCGUAGAUAUCAUUUGGAACGCCAAUGGUGAAAACAGGUAGCUGGGGCUGUGCUGACGCUGAGACACGAAAGCCAGGGGAGCGAAUGGG
rnacentral:rRNA from 1 species